AACGAACGCUGGCGGCAUGCCUAACACAUGCAAGUCGAGCGCUCACCUUCGGGUGGGAGCGGCGCACGGGUGAGUAACACGUGGGAACCUACCUUGAAGUACGGAAUAACUGAGGGAAACUUCAGCUAAUACCGUAUACGCCCUACGGGGGAAAGAUUUAUCGCUUCAAGACGGGCCCGCGUUGGAUUAGCUAGUUGGUGAGGUAAUGGCUCACCAAGGCAACGAUCCAUAGCUGAUUUGAGAGAAUGAUCAGCCACACUGGGACUGAGACACGGCCCAGACUCCUACGGGAGGCAGCAGUGGGGAAUAUUGGACAAUGGGCGCAAGCCUGAUCCAGCCAUGCCGCGUGAGUGAUGAAGGCCUUCGGGUUGUAAAGCUCUUUCAGAUGGGACGAUGAUGACGGUACCAUCAGAAGAAGCCCCGGCUAACUUCGUGCCAGCAGCCGCCGCCGUAA
rnacentral:rRNA from 1 species